rnacentral:rRNA from 1 species
UACGUAGGGUGCAAGCGUUAAUCGGAAUACUGGGCGUAAAGCGUGCGCAGGCGGUGAUGUAAGACAGAUGUGAAAUCCCCGGGCUCAACCUGGGAACUGCAUUUGUGACUGCAUCGCUGGAGUGCGGCAGAGGGGGAUGGAAUUCCGCGUGUAGCAGUGAAAUGCGUAGAUAUGCGGAGGAACACCGAUGACGAAGGCAAUCCCCUGGGCCUGCACUGACGCUCAUGCACGAAAGCGUGGGGAGCAAACAGG